rnacentral:lncRNA from 1 species
GGGGUCUUGUUUCACGUGUACCAACACAUUGAGCCCUUCAGUCAUCAUAUCUUCUCACCAGCCGAGCCAGGGAAGAGAGGGCCUGUCUUCUAGAAGUUUCCAUCUUGUUUCUUAGCCCCAACCACAAAGAGACCGGUUUCCAGUAUUCCACCCCAGGACCCCAGCUCUCCACAACCUGACCUGACAACAUGGAAGAGUGUCGAUUGGAAGAUGUCUGCCUGGGAUCUACUGGGAUAUAUGCGUCUCUGGUAUUCGGGGCCUUUACAAACUGAGGCAUUGGUAAGUGCUCGUUGGAGUUCCAGAUAGACUCCGUGUUUACGAUCUCUCUUCACCAGUCUAUGAGUGCAUUUGUUUAUCUGUACUGGCUUUUGCUUUC